rnacentral:rRNA from 1 species
ANGAACGCUGGCGGCAUGCCUAAUACAUGCAAGUCGAACGAACCAUCCUGAUGAUUGAAGCUUGCUUCAUGAUUCAGACCUUGGUGAGUGGCGGACGGGUGAGUAACACGUGGGUAACCUGCCCAGAAGUGGGGGAUAACAUUUGGAAACAAGUGCUAAUACCGCAUAACAACUUAGAUCACAUGAUCUUUGUUUAAAAGAUGGUUUUGCUAUCUCUUCUGGAUGGACCCGCGGCGUAUUAGCUAGUUGGUGAGGUAAUAGCUCACCAAGGCGAUGAUACGUAGCCGACCUGAGAGGGUAAUCGGCCACAUUGGGACUGAGACACGGCCCAAACUCCUACGGGAGGCAGCAGUAGGGAAUCUUCCACAAUGGACGAAAGUCUGAUGGAGCAAUGCCGCGUGAGUGAAGAAGGUUUUCGGAUCGUAAAACUCUGUUGUUGAAGAAGAAUAUAUGUGAGAGUAACUGUUCACGUACUGACGGUAUUCAACCAGAAAGCCACGGCUAACUACGUGCCAGCAGCCGCGGUAAUACGUAGGUGGCAAGCGUUGUCCGGAUUUAUUGGGCGUAAAGAGAAUGUAGGCGGUUUAUUAAGUUUGAAGUGAAAGCCCUCGGCUCAACCGAGGAAGUGCUUCGAAAACUGGUAAACUUGAGUGCAGAAGAGGAAAGUGGAACUCCAUGUGUAGCGGUGGAAUGCGUAGAUAUAUGGAAGAACACCAGUGGCGAAGGCGGCUUUCUGGUCUGUAACUGACGCUGAGAUUCGAAAGCAUGGGUAGCAAACAGGAUUAGAUACCCUGGUAGUCCAUGCCGUAAACGAUGAGUGCUAAGUGUUGGAGGGUUUCCGCCCUUCAGUGCUGCAGCUAACGCAUUAAGCACUCCGCCUGGGGAGUACGAUCGCAAGAUUGAAACUCAAAGGAAUUGACGGGGGCCCGCACAAGCGGUGGAGCAUGUGGUUUAAUUCGAAGCAACGCGAAGAACCUUACCAGGUCUUGACAUACCAUGAAAAGCUUAGAGAUAAGUCUUUCCCUUCGGGGACAUGGAUACAGGUGGUGCAUGGUUGUCGUCAGCUCGUGUCGUGAGAUGUUGGGUUAAGUCCCGCAACGAGCGCAACCCUUAUUAUCAGUUGCCAGCAUUCAGUUGGGCACUCUGGUGAGACUGCCGGUGAUAAACCGGAGGAAGGUGGGGACGACGUCAAAUCAUCAUGCCCCUUAUGACCUGGGCUACACACGUGCUACAAUGGUCGGUACAACGUGCUGCGAACUCGCGAGGGCAAGCAAAUCACUUAAAACCGAUCUCAGUUCGGAUUGUAGGCUGCAACUCGCCUACAUGAAGCUGGAAUCGCUAGUAAUCGCGGAUCAGCAUGCCGCGGUGAAUACGUUCCCGGGCCUUGUACACACCGCCCGUCACACCAUGAGAGUUUGUAACACCCAAAGUCGGUGGGGUAACCCUUCGGGGAACUAGCCGCCUAAGGUGGGACAAAUGAUUAGGGUGAAGUCGUAACAAGGUAGCCGUAGGAGAACCUGCGGCU